UAAUAAAGCACUUUUCCCCUUCAGUUUAGAGAGUACAUUUCACAUUUGGGGCAGUUCUGAUGAUCUCCUCAAGAAGAGCUUUAUUCUUAUGAAUUCCGAUUCACAUGGUGGGUGAACAUUUGAAGAUAACAACAGCCUGUCAAGCUGAUAUUAGAGAAAUUUUGAGAUGUCAAGUUCCCUCUGCUCCUCGGAAUAAGAUGAAAAAAUACACAUAAACGAAUGAUAAAGAAAAAUGUCAAAGUUAGGAGGUUAUCCCAUGUCACUGAAACAUAGGAGGUACAAGGUUCUGAAGAUCUGUUGUAGGCUGAGCAGCAAGGUUAUUUGAACUUCAAUCUCAGUGCUUCAUUAAUGCAGUUUCAGUUUCUGAUAAAGGUGCAAGUAAAUCUUCGUACGAGUCUGCCAGCAGUGACAUAUCCAUAAGCAAAGGAGGAGAAAAUACUUGAUCUUCAGCUUCAUCCAAAUCAUAAAAUGACCUGCAAGCAUCAGAAACUGAAGAGUUUG
rnacentral:misc_RNA from 1 species